GUGGGCGACGUGCCCGCUUCCAAAAUGGCGGCGGCAGCGGUGUCUGGUGCGCUUGGCCGGGCGGGCUGGAGGCUCCUGCAGCUGCGAUGCCUGCCCGUGGCCCGUUGCCGACAAGCCCUGGUGCCACGUGCCUUCCAUGCUUCAGCUGUGGGGCUAAGGUCUUCAGAUGAGCAGAAGCAGCAGCCUCCCAACUCAUUUUCUCAGCAGCAUUCUGAGACACGGGGGGCAGAAAAACCUGAUCCAGAGUCUUCUCAUUCACCCCCCAGGUAUACAGACCAGGGCGGCGAGGAGGAGGAGGACUAUGAAAGCGAGGAGCAGCUGCAGCACCGCAUCCUGACGGCAGCCCUAGAGUUUGUGCCCGCCCACGGGUGGACAGCAGAGGCGAUUGCAGAAGGAGCCCAGUCUCUGGGUCUCUCCAGUGCAGCAGCCAGCAUGUUUGGGAAGGAUGGCAGUGAGCUAAUACUGCAUUUUGUGACCCAGUGCAAUACCCGGCUCACACAUGUGCUAGAAGAGGAGCAGAAGCUGGUACAGUUGGGCCAGGCGGAGAAGAGGAAGACAGACCAGUUCCUGAGGGAUGCAGUGGAAACCAGACUGAGAAUGCUGAUCCCGUACAUUGAGCACUGGCCCCGGGUACUGAGUCCAUAUCCAGGCCCCAGAGCAACAAUAAUCCUAAUAUUUAUCAUUCUCAGCACCUUCACUCAGAUGACUUUGUACACUGUUCAGAACUUAGUUCCUCAAUCUCUAUAAACCCGAGAAUACUUAGUACACUUGGUAGAAGUUUGAAACUGGGUUUCAAACUUGGGUAUACCAAAGAGAGUGACUCUGAGCCAUCUGUGUCUCAGUUCUUGGAAAUGUGAGUGGUCCGGGUACUGGAUCCCAUCCUGGGUGGGGUUCUCCUAGUGGCCUGAGUGUGCUACCAGCUCUGCAGGGAGGAGGAAUCCAUGCAGGAGGUUAGAAGAGUCAAGAUUUUAUUGGCUGUCUUCACUUGAAUAACAGCCCUGUGGUAUUUUAGAUCUCGAGGACUGGGAUUUGUC
rnacentral:sRNA from 1 species